GACGAACGCUGGCGGCGUGCUUAACACAUGCAAGUCGAACGGAAAGGCCCUGCUUUUGUGGGGUGCUCGAGUGGCGAACGGGUGAGUAACACGUGAGUAACCUGCCCUUGACCUUGGGAUAACUUCAGGAAACUGGGGCUAAUACCGGAUAGGAGCUCCUGCUGCAUGGUGGGGGUUGGAAAGUUUCGGCGGUUGGGGAUGGACUCGCGGCUUAUCAGCUUGUUGGUGGGGUAGUGGCUCACCAAGGCUUUGACGGGUAGCCGGCCUGAGAGGGUGACCGGCCACAUUGGGACUGAGAUACGGCCCAGACUCCUACGGGAGGCAGCAGUGGGGAAUAUUGCACAAUGGGCGGAAGCCUGAUGCAGCAACGCCGCGUGCGGGAUGACGGCCUUCGGGUUGUAAACCGCUUUCGCCUGUGACGAAGCGUGAGUGACGGUAAUGGGUAAAGAAGCACCGGCUAACUACGUG
rnacentral:rRNA from 1 species